ACAUCCAGAGAACUUAGCAGAGAUGCUUUGGUGCCUUCGGGAACUCUGAGACAGGUGCUGCAUGGCUGUCGUCAGCUCGUGUUGUGAAAUGUUGGGUUAAGUCCCGNAACGAGCGCAACCCCUAUCCUUUGUUGCCAGCGAUUCGGUCGGGAACUCAAAGGAGACUGCCGGUGAUAAACCGGAGGAAGGUGGGGAUGACGUCAAGUCAUCAUGGCCCUUACGAGUAGGGCUACACACGUGCUACAAUGGCGCAUACAAAGAGAAGCGACCUCGCGAGAGCAAGCGGACCUCAUAAAGUGCGUCGUAGUCCGGAUUGGGGUCUGCAACUCGACUCCAUGAAGUCGGAAUCGCUAGUAAUCGUAGAUCAGAAUGCUACGGUGAAUACGUUCCCGGGCCUUGUACACACCGCCCGUCACACCAUGGGAGUGGGUUGCAAAAGAAGUAGAUAGCUUAACCUUCGGGAGGGCGUUUACCACUUUGUGAUUCAUGACUGGGGUGAAGUCGUAACAAGGUAGGCGUAGCGAG
rnacentral:rRNA from 1 species